AUUCGGUACAUUGAAUGGAGGUGGCAGGCCGCGGGUCCACUAGGAACGGGGAAAAUCUGAUAUACGCCCAGAUACGCGCCCGACAGAUGGGCCCCGCCCGCACGGAAGGUUGCACGGCGUCGACGGAGCGAGGCCCGAGCCGUGGCUCGAGACGUCGCCGGCGUCCUGAUCCGUGGAUCAGAUUCGGUGCAUUCCGGUAGCGCCGACAGUGCACGCAGUAAAUUCAGUAGGUGGGGCGUUGGGUGGUAUGGCAGUGAAGUUGGAUUAGGCAUUCUUCGCAGGCGGCGAGACGGUGAGGAAAUCUACUACGGCGGAGGCGAUUCCGCGUCCGAGGGAGCUCACAGGUGGUCCAGCGGCGAUGCAGCCGACAAACAGCUACUAGAGGAGGUGAAUGAUAACAACAGCACUAUGGAGCCUGUGCGGUUGCCGGUCGUGGCACCGGCAGAGGUUGAGCUCCCAGCACCUGAAGCUUCAAGUGCGGACGGCCAGAUCUGUCGUGAAGAGGCCCCUGCAGAAGCUGGAAGUGCAGAUAAGGGGCAGAGUUCAGAGCACUCUGUAGAGCAGUUGGAUCCGUGGACCAGGAAAACAUGCUUGGUCAGUUCGUGCGGUUGUCACCUACCUCAAGCGUCUGGUUCCUUCCAUUAUCGCAGGAGGUUGAGCUGGGCGGCAUUGCAUGCAUACGCAGGAGAGAAGGUUAACAGCUGAAGAUUUAAAUUUUGAUGCAGCCGAUUAAGAGAGGAGGUUACUGACAGCGAAUUUCGAUGGGGCCUCUCCACUACCCAGUUAUGGCACCGCCGCACCGGAGGCGGGGGAGCUCCUGCCUAUGGCAGGGGGCAGCGCCACGGGCGGCAGAU